rnacentral:tRNA from 1 species
GGAGAGGUGGCCGAGAGGCCGAAGGCAACGGUUUGCUAAACCGUCGUACCUAUCCGGGUACCGGGGGUUCGAAUCCCCCCUUCUCCG